UACAGAGGUCCCGAGCGUUGUUCGGAUUCACUGGGCGUAAAGGGUGCGUAGGCGGCUUGGAAAGUUUGAUGUGAAAGCUCAGGGCUUAACCCUGAAAUGGCAUUGAAUACUGUCGGGCUGGAGGUUUGGAGGGGGGACUGGAAUUCUCGGUGUAGCAGUGAAAUGCGUAGAUAUCGAGAGGAACACCAGUGGCGAAGGCGAGUCCCUGGACAACACCUGACACUGAGGCACGAAAGCUAGGGGAGCAAACAGG
rnacentral:rRNA from 1 species